CUCUCGAUUAUUCCUUCUUCGUAUACUAUUUGCCACUAUGUUACAUGUUUUUCUUUAUAUAUGUAUAAUGAGAUAAAUUUAUGUCUUUGUGAAUUAAUUUUUUAUUUUUUAAACACCAGAGGAUGGAUUUGACAAGAAAACUCAGAGUAUUCCUGGUAUAACAAUAGGGUGAAUCUUAAAGUGAUAGCUUCCCCAAACAGACUUCAAUUUGUAAUCAUUAGGUUUUAGCUACUUGAGUCCGCUUACAAGACUUCUCCAGCAAAGAUCAGUUGGUAGCAGCAACGUCAAUUGUUUCCCGCUACCAGCAUCUAGGAUAAAUCGGAAUGAUAGUGGUUGCAAGGUGACACCUGAUAGGCAUCCCAUGAAUUCCUUAAAUCGGAAUGAUAGUGGUUACAUGGAAAGGAAUUGAUUUGGUUAGUACUCUUAAUGUGUUCAUGUGAAGGAUUGCAAUGUUCUCUUGCAAAGAUUUCAGUUUGAAAUUCAAAAUUUAAAGAAUCGAAGUCCUAAUCAUCUUCUUUGUUGGUAUGUAUUCAGUUUUUUCUCCAUUUUCAUAUAAUUUCUUCUCCAUUCUUAUUUGAUUAAUUGUGCAAGGAUCCACGGGUUCCUGAUUACAAGCACACCCGAUAUGUAUCAAAUCACAGAUAUAAUGUUUUUGGUACAUAUUCCGAAUGAAAAGUUGGCAGGUGAUACAGUUCGGGUUGCAAUAUCAUUUUCAGUGCUUUAGAUUGUAUUAUAUUAUGUACGCUGAUUUCUCUAAUCCAACUUGAAUACUUCUUUUGAUUUGUAGCUAUCAAGAAACCUGCAAUAUGUAACCAGAUUUCACUAUCUUCAAAACAUGAAGUUGAUAGGUGGUUGCUGAGGAAACUGGUUUCACCAGGGAUGAGAUGAUUAGCAGCUAGGGAUUCAAAUUUUUUGAAUACUCAUGAAGUUGGUGGGCAUAAAAAGUUGCAAAGUGCAUGUGGGAGUUGUUCUGGAGUGUCCAAAGCAGGCUGAUCAAGAAUAACAAUAGUAAAGCCGGUCUUUAGUGAAAGUGAUGAGAAUUGUCUUUGUUUCUUUGCUCUGGUAGUAUGCUCUAAGAAGCAGGACCUCUGGUUACGUAGAUUAAAUUGUACUUUCAUAUUGGGGUUAAUUUAAUCUAAGGUGAUUACAAGACAAAAAAUUCUCGGUGCCAAGUCAGGGAAUGAAAAUAUGUAUACUUUCUAACUAAAUAAAGUGAAUACUUUUGCAUUACACUAUAUGCAAUAUGUAGGAUAAGAAUUUAUGUGGCAGCAGUUGUACU